rnacentral:rRNA from 1 species
GACGAACGCUGGCGGCAGGCCUAACACAUGCAAGUCGAGCGCUACCUUCGGGUGGAGCGGCGGACGGGUUAGUAACGCGUGGGAACGUACCCAGAUCUAAGGAAUAGCCACUGGAAACGGUGGUUAAUACCGCAUAUAUCCUACGGGGGAAAGCAGGGGAUCUUCGGACCUUGCGCUAUUUGAUGAGCCUGAGUGAGAUUAGCUAGUUGGUGGGGUAAAGGCCUACCAAGGCGACGAUCUCUAGCUGGUCUGAGAGGAUGAUCAGCCACACUGGAACUGAGACACGGUCCAG